UUCUACCUGAGAGGCAUAACGCAGGCCAACUGAUUCAUCGGAAUCAGGAUGGUAAUCGUAGAGGAUGCAGAUAGUUUGUGGGCACAGGAGCGAGAGAAUAUCAUCAUGAACUAUGAGAAGGGACACCGAGCCGGGCUGCCAGAGGACAUGGGGCCUGAGCCUGUUGGAAUCUACAACAACAUUGAUCGCUUUGGGAUUGUGCAGUGAG